GUCAAUUGUCAUUUUUUUGUACAUUUUGUGGCCUACUGAAAAAUGGACAGUGGCCUGCAAAUGGUGCCUGGGCCAUAGUUUGGAAACACCUGGCUUAGGCAGUACCCGUUUGCUUUUAACAGAUGCUGCACAUGUUCUUCUAUGGACUACCGCUGCUGGCAGCGUUUGUUUACGGUCUCUUUAAGCCAGGCUGCACGUGGAUGCCUGACUGGAGUGUUUUCUUUUCGGGAGCAAUGAUCCAGUGUCAGUGGGCUCACAUUGGGGGCUCCCUCCAUCCUCACACAAAAACCCCAUUUCGCAUUCAGAGCGAUGUAUUCUGGCCUGUGCUGGCGGCCAAUUUGCUCUAUGCCGUCACUCCUCUUCUGGUAGUUUUGCGUGUGCGCAGUAACCCCUAUUUUUUCCUGAAGGUCGCCCCCUUCCCUGGGCAAACCGGCCUGCCAAACAGCGAGGAGAAAGACACCAAGUACAAAAACAAAUAGUUCAAAUGUGGUAUGAUUUGACUUGAAUGCCAAAAUAAAUGAUUUACCGACAUCCGGAAUGUCUUGGUUUUAAUGAAUACUUCAUUUUAUAUUCGUGUCAACAAUCAUACAAUGUCUAGCAUCUAGCGAGUUAGCUAGCUAGCUCCCAAACAACAAAUUCACUACCUAGCUAGCUAAAUAAAUAUAAAUAGCUAGAUAGAUUGCUAAUUAGAUAGCUUGGUCGGUAAAUGGGCUACUUUUGCAUCUUUAAAUACAGCGUUUGAAAGGCAGAUACAAUAGAAAACAUAGCUUUUAUGCGGUUAAUGACUUACUCAAAACUAUCAGCAAGAAAUAUGUUUAUCUUCCACCACCACUUCCAAUUCCAUCACUUCAAACUUCAUUUUCCGCUAGGGGGACGCUCCAAAUAUUCACAAAAAUCCCAAUUUUAAUAGCCUAAAUCACAUGCAACACGCCGACAGAUUGUGCAUGUUAUCUGUGAGUGUGAACACAUAUUUAGCACCCACUCUUUGGGAUAUUAGUAAAUCAGGCACAUACAUUUCAGCUAAAGGAUGGAUCAUAAAACUUGGACUUUAAACAUCUCUUGUUGCCUGACAAAUCCUUUUAGGCAUACAGUAACAACUUUGCUAGAUAUAUAGAUAGAAGAAAUCAUUCUUAUUUUGUAGCUUGCUAGCUAAGCGCAGACAGUAAUUCAUAGAGGCUUUACAUUUGCAUCUAUUUAGCUAUCUAGUGUUGCGCGCUAAUUCACUAUCUGGCAAACCUGGUAGGCAGGUGAGUAAGUAGCAGCUUGGCGGCCACACAAAUCUCUUUUUUCUCUGUCCCCCAAAAAACAAAAUUGUCCAUGUUUUAUAUUUAGAUUUUUUUUAAGACAGGAAGUUCAUUCAACUCCUCGCUAUCUGGCUGGCUAAAACACCACUUCGAGCGUGCUAAACCAAGUACAGAUAGAUUUGUUGUUGUCCAAUAAAAAAAAACAUUUAUCUCCAAACGCUUUCUUUAAUCUUGAUGCAAAACAAUUUUUAAAAUUAAAUAAAUACACUCAUAAAAUGUGGAGGGGUUUUUUUGUUGUUGUUGGACGGGGUUGACUUGCAAAAACCUCAUCACAUAUUACAAUACGAGCCAAUGUCUGGGCACAAAACUGGCCACUUUCCCCCUACUGUGCUUUUUGUCUCAUCCAGUGCAUAUUGCACAUUUCAUCCUCUGCUCUACAUUUCCUCUUUUCUCCGCACUCCAUGUGGGCGGCUUGCUUAAUGAUUUCAUCAUCGCCUUUUGAAAAAUGCAUCAAACGAGCGACAGUGGAUCUCUGGAUGCCUUUGUGUGUGCAAACAAACACGCUCAAUUGACCAGCAAGCGGGGAGGAAAACGUUGCCUUUGUGCGUUUGAGUGUUUCACACUGUGAGCACGACUGAUUGUUGUUAUGAAAG